UCGGGGCUGAGGGAGCGAUGGAGCAGGGCCCGCGCCCCAACGCCCGGGGCGGUGAGACAGCGGCUCAGGGCGAGGGCUGAGAGGAGCUGCGAGGGGCUGCAGACAGCGGGUACAACAGCGGAGGGAGCCCCGGGGCGCAGGGAUGGACGGAGCCGUUCCGUCCAGGCCUCACCGCGCCGCUCCGGCCGGGCAGCAGCGCACGACGAAAACUGAAAACGGCAAGAAAAGAGCCCAACCACGGGGCUGCCCAAUGCCGGUUCCUCUCCAAGCAGAGAUUAUCCAGCUGAAGGUCAGUUUGCAGAAUCUACAGAACAUCAGAAUCUCAGGAGUUUCAGGAAAUCAGGAACAUGCUCAGGAGCAGGGAGAGUGACUGCACCAAAGUUGUCUUCCUAAGGCUUUGUCAAAGACUUGACAUUGUUUAUCCUGAAGUCCCAUUUCUGAUUGACUGAUGGCUAUGGCUAUAAGGAGACGCAAAUUGGAUUAAAUCAAUUCUUCACCGUGGGAAAUAA